rnacentral:tRNA from 1 species
GUGGGUAGAGCUCAGUGGUAGAGUGUGUGCUUAGUAUGCACGAAGUCCUGGGUUCAAUCCCCAGUGCCUCCA